AAGUCAAGCCUUCUCUUUGGGGACAGCCGACACUGUCUGUGACUUACUGUGCACUUCUACAGGACCAGACCAAUGCAGAGGGUUCAGCAGCCGGACAAAAUGAAGAUCUAAAUGGCUGAAAAGAAAACAGGACCUUUCCAAGCUCCUACUGUGGUAUAGGAUCAUUGAGACCCCACGAGGUGAUAUCUUGCAUGGAGCCCC